rnacentral:misc_RNA from 1 species
UCAAGUCUACAAUAAAAUUUUGAGCUUUGAUAGCCAAAAUUGUGAAUUCAGAUGUUACAAGUCACAUUGGAAGUAAGAAAAUCUGCUAAAUGAAUCAACUAACUGCAGCUACUGCGGGUUCAGGCUGAACAGCGACUACUUUAUAACAACGGCCGCAGAGCGUUGGGUGUUCGCCAAAAGAACCAACUUGGGGAGUGUAAUUCCAGCAUCUCUCACAUUUCAAGCCCUCUGCGCAUGACACACCAAUCCAAACUCUAUUGCUUCCUUGAAUGAGAAACUCUCCAGUGUAUGAUAUAGUUUCAAUAAGUUUGUUAUCCAAAUGAGCAAGGACUUCUGCCUGAGAUGUGAUGAAUAUACGAUGCAGUGCAUCUGCAUCAUUGCUGGCCAGACACAUUUCACGUAACCUUGAAGCCAAACUAGCAUCAGGUGUGUGCAGAUAUACCUUUGCUUCUAAACUAGAACCAAUUAACUUCCCCACACGAGCAGCUUCCAGAACUUUGUUCACCUCUGUUCUCAGCUGUUCAAAUUUAUUCAAUUUGGAAGCAAGUUAUGAUCAGAGAUACAUCAUCACAAACAUUUAGCAACUUCAAAUUUUCAAUGAAAAGAGAUUGGCAUUGUUACUUGUCUGUGUUUAUCUCAUAGGUAAAUUUACAACUAUGUACUGUAGUCAAAAAGCUUUACACAGUGUUGGGGGAAAAAGCUAUUUGCAAAUGACUAGAAAAAGCACCAUUUUCAGUUGCAUGUACAUGAGGUAAAACAUCUUCAGAGUUCUGUUUGACUUUUGCAUUUCUCUGCAAAACAAUUUUUGUUCAAAAAAUAAAGAGAAAUCCAAUAGAACUAAUGUUGAGAACACAUUUUCUGUACCAAUAUACUGAAAUUGCCAUCCUUUCAGAGUUAAAGUCUCCAGGUUUCUUGAAGAAAUCUUUUUGCAACUAAAAUAUGAUGCCAAACAUAAAUUUAUUCCGGUAUAUCUUAUUACAAACAGAGGAGAACUUGAAUUUUUCAAAAUGAAAGAAAUGACACAUGUUGACAUAGGUUAUUUGCCAGUAUUUCAGCCAAAUUAAUUAUUACCUCAAGAAUUUUUCCCCAGAAAUCAAUUUCUUCAUUAGGAAAAGAAAGCCAUUUCUCAUUCAAAGCAGGCCACUUUGAUUCAAAAACAAAUUUUGCAAUGGAACCGUCCUCGGUCAAAUAUGGAAAAGGAAGAUUCAGCCAUACAUCCUCAGCCAAAUGAGGUAGUAUUGGAGCAAUAACCUUCACAAUGGCGAGGAGAUGUUCCGCAAGAAUUGUUUGACAACUUCUCCUUGUAAAAGUUGUUGAGCCCCUGAAAAUUAUUAAUUUCAGAGUCAUAGAUGCUUUUUCCUGUUAGCCAAGACUUGCAGUAUGCACAAGUGCAAAUGUGUGGAAAUAUUUAAGUACUCCAAGGGAAAACUUCUCUACUAAUAGCAAAUAUAAAACAACGGACAAGAGAAGGGAAAAGAUACUUGAGGAAUUGCAGUGAAAAUGUGGAAAUUGAAGGAGAAUUACCCAACAUAGAGUCGAUCUUUGGCAACAUCAAAAUAGAAAUUUGAUAGGUCAACAAUAACAAACCGUUGUAUGAUCUGGAAUAUUUUGGAAAAUUGAUAGUUUUCAUAACUCUCUCUUAUAUUCUUUACAACAUUUUCCAGCUGAAAAAGUGCAUGCUUAUCAAUCAUGGGGAGAUCAUUGUAUGAAACUGCAUUAUCAGCUUUCCAAUCAUGUAGAUUUCCCAGAAGAUAUCUCAAUGUUCCUCGCAGCUUCCUAUAUAUCUCAGACAUUUGUUUAAGAGAUUGAGGACCAAUCAUAACAUCGCCUGUAUAGUCUACGCUAGAAACCCAGAGUCGUAGGACAUCAGCUCCGUAGGCUGGCGCUUCCCCUGCAUUUUUCCCCCCUUCAAUUACAGUAUGCGGAUCUACAACAUUACCCAGUGAUUUGCUCAUCUUAAAACCUUUCUCAUCCAAUACAAAUCCAUGGGUUAUGACACUAGAAUACGGAGCCUUUCCUUUUGUAGCAAUACUUGUUAAUAAAGAGCUUUGAAACCACCCACGGUGUUGAUCUGAGCCUUCAAGAUAAAUAUCUGCAGGAUAACUAAGGCCAUUCCUUUUCGCCAACACAGCAGCCCAUGAAGAACCUGAAUCAAACCAUACAUCCAUUGUAUCCAUCCCUUUUUCAUAGUCUGAUGCUCUAUUGCGAUACUUUUCAGGAAGUAGGUCCUCCACUUUCAUAUACCACCAUGCAUCACUACCCUUCUGGGCAAUUAUAGACUUAAUAUGAUCAAUAGUCUCUGCAUUCAUAAGGGGUUCCUUUGACUCCACAUGAUAAAAGACUGGAAUGGGGACACCCCACGUCCUUUGCCUUGAUAUGCACCAGUCAGAGCGACUUGAAGUCAUUGCAGAAAUUCUGUUUUCUGCCUGAGAUGGAAUCCAUUUUACAUGGCCAAUUGCAUCCAUAGCCGCUUGACGAAAACCAUCUACAGAUGCAAACCAUUGCUCAGUAGCUCUAAAAAUUGUUGGUUUUUUGGUUCGCCAAUCAUAUGGAUACUUGUGUUCAUAUGAUUCUUCCAUUAUAAUUGACAAUUGUUCAUCCAGGUAUUUCACUACAGCAGCAUUACCAUCCCCCAGAACGUCAAGCCCACUAAACUUUACAGCUUCUUCAGUGAACUUUCCAUCAUCAUCAACAGGGGAAAGUACAGGCAGUCCAUACUUCAUGCCAGUUACAUAAUCCUCCUGACCAUGACCAGGAGCUGUAUGCACUAGUCCAGUUCCUGAUUCUGUUGUAAUAUAAUCUCCUCCAAUGACAACCUGGCAUUCUCUGUUAUCUAUUGGAUGUAAGUACCUGCAGUUUUCCAGAUCUGACCCUGACAGGGUUUUCUUGAUCACAAGCUUUACACCCCAUUUUACUUCUAGUGUUGGCACAAGAUCAGAUGCUACUAUAAGAAAAUGCUUCUUUUGCUCCCUCAGAACAUUGCCAAGUCGUCGUCUUUUAUUUCCAGAGGAUGUAGAAACAUCUUCUAAAAACUGCAUUUCAACUACUGCAUAUUGAAGCUUGGCAUUGACCGCAACAGCGGCAUUGGCUGGCACAGUCCAGGGAGUUGUAGUCCAUAUGGCCAAGCACAAAUCUGGAAAGAAUUCCUCUAGUAAUCCACUUGAAGUUGGUGUAGCACUUACUAUUCGAAAUGUGGCAUAUAUGCUUCUUGAAACAUGCCCCUCCGGAUACUCCAACUCAGCCUCUGCAAGAGCAGUACGAGAUGAGGGACUCCAGUGAACUGGUUUCCUGCCCCUAUAGAUGUAUCCUUGAAGGGCCAUCUGGCCAAACACUUCAAUCUGGGCAGCUUCAUAUUCUGGAUCUAGAGUUAGAUAAGGAUCAUCCCAGUCUGCCCAAACUCCAUAGCGCUUAAAUGAUGCCAUCUGAGUUUUGACAGUUGCUUUGGCAAACUUGGCUGCCUUUGCUCUUAAUUUCAAUGGUGUCAGAUCCUUUCUGGCGUCCUGAUCCAAUGAUUGCAGAACUUUCAACUCAAUUGGCAGCCCAUGACAAUCCCAACCAGGCACAUAAUGAACCUUAUGGUUUUGAAGAAUCUUAUAACGAUUAAUUAUAUCCUUCAAGAUUUUAUUCAGGGCAUGACCAAUGUGUAGGCCACCAUUGGCAUAAGGCGGACCAUCAUGAAGAACAAAAUUUCCCCCAUCAUUUUUAUUGACAACCCGCUUGAACACCUGAUUUUCUUCCCAUAAUUUUUGAAUCUCUGGCUCCCUUGUCAAAGCAUUUGCUCUCAUGCCAAAUGUUGUCUUUGGUAAAUCAACUGUGUGUUUGUACUUUCCUUCUUGUUUUUCCCCCUCAGAUGUUUUUUUGGCUGACAUAACAGGUCCUCGAGAUCUUCUCUUUGAAGAACCAAAUUCACCACUGGAAUAUGUACAAUUACGUGUUGUAUUGAAGAAAGAAAAGACUUUAACUGAAGAGCUUCGUCUAUAGUAGAAUAAGCCAACAUUCCUAAAAGACGAACAAGUUCUUUGUGAUAAGAUCUUAGAAGAAGAUGAGUGAAUCAUGGCUACAGUGGCUUCGGUGGGACUGAACGCCAAGGAUUUAAGAAGGGCCAUGCUUGGCUAAUGGCAAAUGGCUAUAGGCAUGGCUUGUAAAACUUCAAUUCAUCUUCUGCAAGAGUGACCAAGUGCCCUAUUUUGGGUUUGGAUAUCUCAGAGAGUAAAAAAAACUAGAAAUAUUCUGUGGAUAAAUGAAGAAAAACAGUUCAGCCUUUUAU